GGAGUAACACAUGCGACUGCACACAGGCCACCAGCAGCAAGGAGUCUUCUCCAACCCAGCAGCUGGAUGAAGGCUUUCCUGCAAGGCCCCCAUUGUCCUCCACUUCACCCGUGGUUUGCCUCCUCGUCUGAGUCGUGCGGCUCCUAGCGUCUGUUCCACCUCUGCACUUCGUAUUGGUGGAGAACCUCAUGGCCAUAAGCUGGGAGGGAGUGGAAGGCAGAGAACUCUUUCCGCUUAGAGCUCAGCUGAGGCUGCACCUGAAGUGUCUACACGUGGGCUCUCCAUGUGGCUUGGAUUCGUAAAGCAUGGCAGCAGGCUCCUAAGAGGGAGCAUCUGAAGAGAAAACUGCAAGACUUUUUGUGAUAUGGCCACAGAGGCUCCAGAUUUCAACUGGUUGAAACAAAUGUACUGAGCCCAGCCCAAAUUCAAGAGUUCUCUUGCCCUGUUCAUCGUGUGAGGACAUGGCAAGAAAGUAACAGCUAUCAGCCAGGAAGAGGGCCUUGACCAGAGCAUAACCAUGCUGGUGCCUUGAAAUUGGACAUCUGAGCCUCCAGAACUAAUAUCAUAUAAAUGGAAUUAUACAGAAAUAGCCUUUCUAACUUUGCUCAAUACAAUGUAUUUUGAGAUUCAUCUAAGCUGUUG